rnacentral:rRNA from 1 species
CUCAGUAACACGUGGAUAACCUGCCCUUAGGACUGGCAUAACCCCGGGAAACUGGGGAUAAUUCCGGAUAGUUCAUGGUAGCUGGAAUGCUCCAUGAUCGAAAGCUAUUGCGCCUAAGGAUGGGUCUGCGGUCUAUCAGGUAGUAGUGGGUGUAAUGUACCUACUAGCCGACGACGGAUACGGGUUGUGGGAGCAAGAGCCCGGAGAUGGAUUCUGAGACAUGAAUCCAGGCCCUACGGGGCGCAGCAGGCGCGAAAACUUUACAAUGCGGGAAACCGCGAUAAGGGGACACCGAGUGCCAGCAUCUUAUGUUGGCUGUCCGCAUGUAUAAAUCACAUGUGUUAGCAAGGGCCGGGCAAGACCGGUGCCAGCCGCCGCGGUAACACCGGCGGCCCGAGUGGUGGCCACUAUUAUUGGGUCUAAAGGGUCCGUAGCCGGUUUGGUCAGUCUUCCGGGAAAUCUGACGGCUUAACCGUUAGGCUUUCGGGGGAUACUACCAGGC